rnacentral:rRNA from 1 species
AACUGGAGAGUUUGAUCCUGGCUCAGAACGAACGCUGGCGGCGUGCCUAACACAUGCAAGUCGAACGAGAAAGGGGCUUCGGCCCUGAGUAAAGUGGCGCACGGGUGAGUAACGCGUGGGUAACCUGCCUCUAAGGCUGGGAUAACCCGUCGAAAGAUGGGCUAAUACCGGAUAAGGCCACGGCUUCUGCGGGAGCAGGGGUUAAAGGUAGCCUCUAUAUAUAAGCUAUCGCUUAGAGAUGGGCCUGCGUACCAUUAGCUAGUUGGUAGGGUAACGGCCUACCAAGGCCAAGAUGGUUAGCUGGUCUGAGAGGAUGAUCAGCCACACUGGAACUGAGACACGGUCCAGACUCCUACGGGAGGCAGCAGUGGG